UACGUAGGGGGCAAGCGUUGUCCGGAAUCAUUGGGCGUAAAGCGCUCGUAGGCGGCCCGGUAAGUCCGCUGUAAAAGUCCAGGGCUCAACCCUGGAAAGCCGGUGGAUACUGUCGGGCUAGAGUCCGGAAGAGGCGAGUGGAAUUCCUGGUGUAGCGGUGGAAUGCGCAGAUAUCAGGAGGAACACCGAUGGCGAAGGCAGCUCGCUGGGACGGUACUGACGCUGAGGCGCGAAAGCGUGGGGAGCGAACAGG
rnacentral:rRNA from 1 species